rnacentral:rRNA from 1 species
CCUACGGGUGGCAGCAGUGAGGAAUAUUGGUCAAUGGGCGCAACCCUGAACCAGCCAAGUAGCGUGAAGGAUGACUGCCCUACGGGUUGUAAACUUCUUUUAUACGGGAAUAAAGUGAGGCACGUGUGCCUUUUUGUAUGUACUUUAUGAAUAAGGAUCGGCUAACUCCGUGCCAGCAGCCGCGGUAAUACGGAGGAUCCGAGCGUUAUCCGGAUUUAUUGGGUUUAAAGGGAGCGUAGACGGGUUGUUAAGUCAGUUGUGAAAGGUUGCGGCUCAACCGUAAAAGUGCAAUUGAUACUGGCAGUCUUGAGUACAGUUGAGGUAGGCGGAAUUCGUGGUGUAGCGGUGAAAUGCUUAGAUAUCACGAAGAACUCCGAUUGCGAAGGCAGCUUACUAAACUGUUACUGACAUUGAUGCUCGAAAGUGUGGGUAUCAAACAGGAUUAGAUACCCGGGUAGUC